rnacentral:rRNA from 1 species
GAGACAGCAGCCGCCGCGGUAAAACGAAGGGUGCAAGCGUUACUCGGAAUUACUGGGCGUAAAGCGUGCGUAGGUGGUGGUUUAAGUCCGUUGUGAAAGCCCUGGGCUCAACCUGGGAAUUGCAGUGGAUACUGGGUCACUAGAGUGUGGUAGAGGAUAGUGGAAUUUCCGGUGUAGCAGUGAAAUGCGUAGAGAUCGGAAGGAACAUCUGUGGCGAAGGCGACUAUCUGGGCCAACACUGACACUGAGGCACGAAAGCGUGGGGAGUAAACAGGAUUAGAUACCCGCGUAGUCCCUGUCUCUUAUAC